rnacentral:rRNA from 1 species
GAUCCUGGCUCAGGAUGAACGCUAGCUACAGGCUUAACACAUGCAAGUCGAGGGGCAGCACGGUCUUAGCUUGCUAAGACUGAUGGCGACCGGCGCACGGGUGAGUAACACGUAUCCAACCUGCCGCCUACUCUUGGACAGCCUUCUGAAAGGAAGAUUAAUACAAGAUGGCAUCAUGAGUCCGCAUGUUCACAUGAUUAAAGGUAUUCCGGUGGACGAUGGGG